AAAGAUGCGCUAAUACCGCAUAAUCUCUACGGAGAAAAGCAGGGGAUCGCAAGACCUUGCGCUUUUGGAGCGGCCGAUGUCUGAUUAGCUAGUCGGUGAGGUAAACGCUUACCAAGGCCUCGAUCAGUAGCUGGUCUGAGAGGACGACCAGCCACACUGGGACUGAGACACGGCCCAGACUCCUACGGGAGGCAGCAGUGGGGAAUUUUGGACAAUGGGGGCAACCCUGAUCCAGCCAUGCCGCGUGAGUGAAGAAGGCCUUCGGGUUGUAAAGCUCUUUCAGCCGGAACGAAAAGGUUACGGUUAAUACCCGUGACUAAUGACGGUACCGGAAGAAGAAGCACCGGCUAACUACGUGCCAGCAGCCGCGGUAAUACGUAGGGUGCGAGCGUUAAUCGGAAUUACUGGGCGUAAAGCGUGCGCAGGCGGUUUUGUAAGUCAGAUGUGAAAUCCCCGGGCUUAACCUGGGAACUGCGUUUGAAACUACAAGGCUAGAGUGUGGCAGAGGGGGGUGGAAUUCCACGUGUAGCAGUGAAAUGCGUAGAGAUGUGGAGGAACACCGAUGGCGAAGGCAGCCCCCUGGGUUAACACUGACGCUCAGGCACGAAAGCGUGGGGAGCAAACAGGAUUAGAUACCCUGGUAGUCCACGCCCUAAACGAUGUCAACUAGUUGUCGGGUCUUAACGGGCUUGGUAACGCAGCUAACGCGUGAAGUUGACCGCCUGGGGAGUACGGUCGCAAGAUUAAAACUCAAAGGAAUUGACGGGGACCCGCACAAGCGGUGGAUUAUGUGGAUUAAUUCGAUGCAACGCGAAAAACCUUACCUACCCUUGACAUGUACCGAAGCCCGCCGAGAGGUGGGCGUGCC
rnacentral:rRNA from 1 species